ACUCUUGUGGUGUAAUAGCAACACAUCCAGCCUCUGGGUGGAAGAUUCCAGGUGCAAAUCCUGGCAAGAGUG
rnacentral:tRNA from 1 species